ACAUCUUUUUAUACAUCCACUGUUGUUUAUGAUACAUUUAAUGACAUUAGCUAGCUAGCUGGAUGACUACAGAGAUUAUAUACAGAAAUGGAUAAA